GUAAAGUUUGAUUCUUUCUUAUGUCUUUAUGGGUUUGCUGAGAUUGUAUGGGAAUUGUAGUAAGUAAUGAAAAGGUGUUUGAUACAUUUAGUUUUAAUUAGAGUUUAUUAGUCAAUAGAAGAUAAAUUCCCAGCAUAAAGUAUUAAGCAAUAUACUAAGGUAUGACUUAGCAGUAAACAUAAAUCUGAUUAAACUAUUGUGCCAGCAGUCGCGGUUAGACUUUGAGGUUGUGUAAAGAAAUAUUGAGUUUAGUUAAGUGAGAGAAAAUUAUUUAAUGGUUAUUAUGGGGAAAAUUUGAAAAAGUAAAAGGUGAAAUUGGGAUACUUUUAUUUAAAUUUUAUUAACUUAAGCUGAAGCUAAAAAUUUUUAGAUUUAAACUAGGAUUAGAUACCCUAUUAUACUAAAAAAGUGAAUAAUAGCUCAGAUUAUUAAUAGAUAUGUUCUUUAAAUUUAAAGAAUUUGGCGGUGAUUUAGUCUUGUCAGAGGAACCUGUUUUUGGAUCGAUAUACCACGCAGAAUCUUACUCGUUUUUGUAAUAAUAUUACAGUUUAUAUACCGUCAUUAGCAGAUAAUUUUAAAAGAAAUAAUUAUUGUACUUUACAAGGUUAAGUAAAAUUAGAUCAAGGUGUAGCUUAUAGGCGAGUUAAAAUGGGUUACAAUAAAAUUUAUUUAUAACGGAGUAACUAAAGGAAGAAGUAGCUUUAAAGGAGGAUUUGAUUGUAAUAUAAGUUUAGUAUGCUUAGGAGAUAUAAGCUCUAAAUCAUGUACAUAUCGCCCGUCGCUUUCAUUAUAUAGAUGAGAUAAGUCGUAACAUAGUAGGUUUACUGGAAAGUAAACCUAGUUUACA
rnacentral:rRNA from 1 species